UACGUUCCGUAUUGAAUGGUGUAGAGCGGUACAGUAAACCAAAGUAGAUUUUAUGGAUAAAAAUCCUAUUUUCAUUCGUGAUCAAUGUUUGGCCGAUUGAACCAUGGGAUAAUAAAAUAAUGGGAAAUAACCAAUCCUAUAAGAAAAAGAAUCUUUGAAAGAUAAUUUUUUCAUGUGAUGAGUAGGCUCUAUCAUCGCAGCCAUCAUUGCACUCUACCCUAAUCGUCACCUUCUACCUCCAAUCGCCAUGGAGAUAGAGUAGCGUGAGGCAUUGAAGUAGCAGAAAGUGAUGUGCAUCUCACCAUCGCC
rnacentral:lncRNA from 1 species